rnacentral:sRNA from 1 species
CCACCCAAACCUCUCCUCUUCCCAUUUCAUCCUCUCU